UAUAUAUACUAAUAUAUACCUCAUACAACAGUCAAAAAUGUUGUGUUUUGUUUUUUUUUUUUAAAUAAUAGUUUUACCAAUUUAUAUCUUUUUCUUAAUAUUUUGACUAUCCAUUGCAUAAUUUAAUUUCAUUUCAGUCUCAAUGAGGCUGUUGAGGCUGAAUUACAAUUAUUUUUUAGAAUAAAGCUGCAGGGUGGGAACAGGUUGUCCCCCAACAGUCUCUCCGGAUAUUGUCUCUCCUUGCAAUCCUUCUCUCAUUUUUAGCCAUUGGCAAUGCUCUAAGGGCUUUUGCCCACUGAAAACCUUGUCUUAUGCUAUCCUUUUGUUCCGAGGAAUGCAAUGUUAGGCUGCAAGCAGUUGGCUUUUUUAACAGGUUUCAUUCUAGGAGUUUGAAUAAUUUUUCUGUAGAGUUGCCUGUAUGCUCUAGAUGUGACAUGCUACCAUGUAAGGCUGGCCUUAUCCCAUCAAAUAUCGCAUUGGCAAUCAAAUAUGGUAUUGGCAAGAUGAUGUGGAAAUUAAAAAAAAAACAUUGUUUAUUUUGUAAAAUUGUCCAAUGUGGCUAGCAAAUUUGCUAAUGGCUUUAGCAAAAGCUGCCUUAGCAAAUUUGCUAGUCACGUGGACAACCCACCAAAAUAAAUAAUGCUUUUUUUGAUUUUCACAUCAUCUUGCCAAUACUUUCUUUGUUGGGAUAAGGCCAGCCUAAGGAUAGCCUAAUGCAUAAUAGUUGAUGUGUAAGUAGAAUUGAUAUUUCUUAAAUACUUGUGUAUCCUUUAAAAACUUGGGAAAUUGACAAAUUUUAACCUUGCAAGGUAAAGAACAAUGAUUAAGGUAGGUCAGUGAAAUUGUUAAACAGGGAUAUGCUAUAUAAGGAUUAUUACAUCAAGAUGAAUUUAAAGGUACAAUCUUUUUAAUGUUUUUCUUUUUGUUGCUAAUGUGGAAUCUCAACUAGUCUUGCCAUUUGGUUGCAGGACUUCAAAUUUUGUUGUAUGUGACUAUGUGUAAUGUGUAAUAGAUUUUCAUGUGUAAGUUAAGAGUGUGCAAGUAUCCAACGACCUGAAAGGUGGAACUGGAUCAAAUUUGGGUCAGUUUUUAUGAAAUUAAGAUAUCUGUGAUACACACUUAACACACAAAUAGGAUAUUGUUAUUAGUUUGGUGUGUACAGAUGUCUGAAAUUCUUAAAGUGUAGAAAUAAAAAUUUUAAUUUUAACCAGAUCCAUACUAAAUCAUGCAUCUUGUGUUCUUGGCUCUUGCAUAACUGUGCUCCAUUCGAGAUAGGAGACAGCCAAGUCCUAUCUGGAUUUCCAGAUUGUUGUUGUUGAGCUCCAAUGGAGGAGGUGACUUUGAGACUGGUUGGAUCCUGGUGGUGCCUCCAAAAGGCAAGCUACCACCAGGAGUGCCCUUGAGUUCCUACUCGACACAAAUGCCAUUGGAGUGCCCUUGAGAUCCUACUCGACACAAAUGCCAUUGGAGUGCCCUUGAGAUCUUACUCGACACAAAUGUCAUUGGAGUGCCCUUGAGAUCCUACUCGACACAAAUGCCAUUGGAGUGCCCUUGAGGUCUUACUCAACACAAAUGUCAUUGGAGUGCCCUUGAGAUCCUACUCGACACAAAUGCCAUUGGAGUGCCCUUGAGAUCUUACUCAACACAAAUGUCAUUGGAGUGCCCUUUGAGAUCUUACUCGACACAAAUGUCAUUGGAGUGCCCUUGAGAUCUUACUCAACACAAAUGUCAUUGGAGUGCCCUUGAGAUCUUACUCGACACAAAUGUCAUUGGAGUGCCCUUGAUCCUACUCGACGCAAAUGUCAUUGGAGUGCCCUUGAGAUCUUGACCUCGACACAAAUGCAGGUGUGGGGUGCCUUAGAGGAAAUCCAGGAGUGCAAGAACUACAGAAGCAGCCACUGAAGCCUCAUAAUUUUGAUGUUAUAAUGAGCUCAAAGCAGCUAGUUCUUGUGUUUUUUUUUUUUUUUUUUUGGAGAAGGGGAAGGGCACAGCCUCAGAAGAAAUAAAACAACAAAAUCAGUCACUUAGGAACCCUGAUAGUAUAAUUCUGGACGCUGUUUUACUUUAGAUAGAUGUAUGUAAAACACAUCUAUUGAAAUUAUGAGUUUUUGUUAGA